UCACAACCAUAUAGGCUUCACCCCGCAUUGCCAGGGUGUCGCCUGUAUGGUCGUGAGUAGCCUCCUCAGUUACCCAAAGAGUAAUAGCGUCUUUCUGGUCGCCGCUGAAUUUUCAACAUGUUGAACAUUUUUGCUGACCUGCAACGACCUAUGAUGGGUGCCAGCAGUCGCCGAAAAAGUCAGGUAAGUGGGACAGGCCCUUGAAUGCUUCAAGCAGUUAUUUAAUUCCUAAGUGUACUACUGGAGAAAGUAAUUAAAAAAUAUAUAUAUAUAUUCCUUUAAAGACAAAUAAUGUUUGUCUUGGGUCAAUAACUAUUGUUGGUGGUGGAUAGUCUAAAUUGGACUGCCUCUCAUUGACAAGCUACCUUUGUCCAAAUAGCAUUCACCAUCAUUAAUUCAAUUUGUUACAAGCUUUUAGCCUUCAAUGUAUGGCAUCAAAAUGUGGCCGUGAUUCGCUUUUAUUCCUCAAAGCUGGGUUAUUGGUCAUCUUAAGACCACAAGAAUUCCGACAUCUCAACUAUAUCCGUUCUACAGCCAAAUAUGAUCCUGCCUUUAACUACUUUCCACACAAAAUAAAGUAGGAUCCCUGAAUGGUUUUAUUUUUCUUACGUUUUAUAAUGAACUAAUUUGUAGUCCACUUUUAAUACAACUCUUUUGAGAUAUACUUUCUCAUGACAAAUAUUGUCUGUAUAGCUUGGUACUUCAUGUAUUAACUGAUUAAACCUCUUGAAUCCCUUGAUCAGGUACAUGUAAAUAUAUAGAAUUUUUAAUCAAUGAUUAACAUCAGUAUUACUGAUGAUAAGCACAGUUGCAGAGUUGGAAAGAUAAGAUAAUCAGCCUAAAGAUACAAAAGGCUGAAGUAACUCGGCAGGACUGGAGAAAAAGAAUAGGUGACGUUUCUGGUUGAGACCCUUCUUCAGACUGAGAGUCGGGAAAGGGGAACAAGAUAUAUUAAACUAGUGUCUGCAGUUCCUCCCUACACAGAUGAUCAGCCUUAUCCUAGCAAACGAGACAGAGGUAGAUUCUCAUGUGAAUAAGUGGAGGAUUGCCCACCUCCAUUGUUCAAUUAACAAAUAAUUUCAAACAAAUAUCAGAAACUAUUAUUUAAUUAAUCAUAUUUGGAAAAGCCUUGCACUAUCUUUCAGACAGGAGACAGAAAACAUAAGUUUGAGGACCUUUUCUUUGUAGUCCAAAUUCUCCCAUUUAUGUGUAAAUCCUGGAAAAUAUAGCUAGAAAAGAUGUUGUGUCCUUAUGCCACCUCACCAUCUAUCUUGUUCAAUGAUUCUUCUGGUGGAUGGCAAAAAUGCAACUGUGUUUCCUAACAUAUGCCUGCGUUAAAUGCUGAAUUCAGGGCAGCUAAUCAGGCUGCCACGUUUACCAUUCGGAGCUCAACCCUGGGAUCAUCAAGGGACUAAUAGGAUACCUGGGCAAUUGCUCGUGGUCCAACCCCUAUACAUCACCCAUUAACAUAGAGGGAAAUGUUUUCAGAAUUAACCAAUUUGGUCAGACAACCCAAUAGUUUUAUCCUCCCAUUGCUGUUGUUCACAGUAUGUCUUCACCACUUAACUGGAUUUAAUUUUAGUAUAAAAUGAUACUCAUUCCCCCACGAUAAUAACUACUGACCUAGGGAAUUAUAUAACAUCUGGAGAUUCAGACCAGAGAUAUUUCCUGUCUCUUAAUGCCCUCUGGCUGUGAUAAUACUUUAUGUGCAUGAAUCUGUCAUUAAAGUGUGAUAUUGUUUUCUCUAAUAAUAUGAGGUAUCAUUGUAAGUAUAAUAUAAUGUUACUCCCCAACAAAGGUUCUCAACAGUUAGGAGGUUACAACAGAGCUCUGGCUGCAGAGGAUUGCAAAUAUUCCAUUAAAAAAAACUUUAGGCAAACCUACCAUAAAAAUAUUCAAAGUGAACUAAAAGAUAUAAUGAAGUGUGAAUAUAUCUAAAGUGUGGCAAGGAGGUGGCAUAAAGGGGUUAAUUUUAAAUAAAGUCACUAUGGAAUAGUUUCAGGCUAAAUAUAAAACAUGAUUUAAUUAACAUAUUUGAAUUGUAUAAAUUUCCAUAUCAAAUGUGUGAAUUAUUGUGGUGGCACAGAACUGUGAAUGCCUUUUAAAGGAUAAAACUCUCAAGGCUGAUAUGUUUUGCCUCAGAUAUAUCUUAAUUUGAUAUUGACCCUGAAUGAAGACUAUUAUGUACUGGGUACAUUUACAUCUACCACAAAUACCUGAGUUGAGAGUCAAUAUUUCCAAGAAUGGAUAAAAAAUAUAAAAGAUAUAGCAUUCUCCUAUAUCAUGCAUCUACAAAUAUCCUAUGUCAUGCAUCUACAAAUAUAGUUUGCAAUGACCCUGAACCACAAGAAAAAAAGAUUCGGAGGCCAAUUAUAUCUUUUGAUAUUGGGAGGGACUAACUGCGGCCUUGGGACAGACCUUCUAUUGUACAUUGUAUUUUAAUGUUUUUUCUUUUGCAAUUAAUGAUCAGAAUUUUUACGUAAAUGCUUCCAAAUUUAACACAGCUUUGAAGUGCAUUGGUCCCAUUUCCAGCCUGAUUGGGAUUCUGCUUUCGCUAUGUACUCCCUCGAUAGCUGAUCAACGAAUAGUGUUCUUUUCAGGAUAAUUCUACGACAAAACUUACCUAUAUUACAUCAAGCUGAAUAUUUUCUGAUUGUACUUGACUUUGUUUAUUGGACCUCUCUGUUCCUCUUAAUUGGUUUGGUUUCCAUGGUGCUUCUUUAACCCAGUUCAAACAAACUUUUACCAAUGAUACUAAAUGCCUUAAAACUGCACCCACCCUUGUCUCUACCUGACAUCUACAGGUUUCAGACGAUACGUAAAAGUAACUAGUUAAUUUACAUCAUCUAUAUUAUUUUUAUCAAUCUAUUUUAAUUGGAUACAGUAAAUGACAGACACAAUUACAAAUCAAUGUCCUUUUGUUUUGUUAUGAUUCUUAUCCUGGCAUUCUAAGAGACAGGUUAGAAAUGGAACCUUCUCUAUUCCAUGGAUGUGCAGGUUCUCGGCAUUGAUUUUGGUCCUUUCUGUUCUCCAUCACUGCUUCCUGGCAUGUCAUGAUUUGAAACAUUAGAAGCAUGAGUUUUCACAUCCAAAUGGAGACUUAUUGCAGUGUUGCUGUUAAAUUAUUAGUUUUUAAAUGGUUUGGUUUAUUACUGUGCUUUGACAGUUUCAAACUACGUUGGUCUUUAAAAGAAAAUCACUUCAACAUGAGGCAUCGUUUGCCUUAUCCUAGAAUGAGAUUAUUUUUCCUAUGUACUGUAACUCAUGGUGCUAUUCCUUGAACACUUAUGUGGAACUAUUAUUUGAUUGUGUACAUUUAUGUGUAUAAAAUAUAGUGUUUGAGUGACAAA